AUCUUUUUAAUAUAAGUGUAUAUUUGGUUUCCACCCAGAAGGUCUAGUUUUAUCUAGAAAAGAUA
rnacentral:tRNA from 1 species